rnacentral:rRNA from 1 species
GGCGGACGGGUGAGUAACGCGUGAGGAACCUGCCUUUCAGAGGGGGACAACAGUUGGAAACGACUGCUAAUACCGCAUGACACAUAGAGAUCGCAUGGUUUUUAUGUCAAAGAUUUAUCGCUGAAAGAUGGCCUCGCGUCUGAUUAGCUAGUUGGUGAGGUAACGGCCCACCAAGGCGACGAUCAGUAGCCGGACUGAGAGGUUGACCGGCCACAUUGGGACUGAGAUACGGCCCAGACUCCUACGGGAGGCAGCAGUGGGGAAUAUUGGGCAAUGGGCGCAAGCCUGACCCAGCAACGCCGCGUGAAGGAAGAAGGCUUUCGGGUUGUAAACUUCUUUUGUCGGGGACGAGUAGAAGACGGUACCUGGCGAAUAAGCCACGGNUAACUACGUGCCAGCAGCCGCGGUAAUACGUAGGUGGCAAGCGUUGUCCGGAUUUACUGGGUGUAAAGGGCGUGUAGCCGGGAAGGCAAGUCAGAUGUGAAAUCCACGGGCUUAACUCGUGAACUGCAUUUGAAAACUACUUUUUCUUGAGUAUCGGAGAGGCAAUCGGAAUUUCCUAGUGUAGCGGUGAAAUGCGUAGA